rnacentral:rRNA from 1 species
UACGAAGGGUGCAAGCGUUAAUCGGAAUUACUGGGCGUAAAGGGUGCGUAGGCGGUUCGUUAAGUCUGUCGUGAAAUCCCCGGGCUCAAACUGGGAAUGGCGAUGGAUACUGGCGAGCUAGAGUGUGUCAGAGGAUGGUGGAAUUCCCGGUGUAGCGGUGAAAUGCGUAGAGAUCGGGAGGAACAUCGGUGGCGAAGGCGGCCAUCUGGGACAACACUGACGCUGAAGCACGAAAGCGUGGGGAGCAAACAGG